rnacentral:rRNA from 1 species
UGGGGAAUAUUGCACAAUGGAGGGAACUCUGAUGCAGCGACGCCGCGUGAACGAAGAAGGCUUUCGAGUCGUAAAGUUCUUUUAUAUGGGAAGAUAAUGACGGUACCAUAAGAAAAAGCCCCGGCUAACUACGUGCCAGCAGCCGCGGUAAUACGUAGGGGGCUAGCGUUGUCCGGAAUCACUGGGCGUAAAGGGUUCGCAGGCGGAAAUGCAAGUCAGGUGUAAAAGGCAGUAGCUUAACUACUGUAAGCAUUUGAAACUGCAUAUCUUGAGAAGAGUAGAGGUAAGUGGAAUUUUUAGUGUAGCGGUGAAAUGCGUAGAUAUCGGGAAGAACACCAAUGGCGAAAGCGGCUCUCUGGUCUGUAACUGACGCUGAGGCUCGAAAGCGUGGGGAGCGAACAGG